rnacentral:tRNA from 1 species
UCCCUGGUGGCUCAGAAGGUAAAGAAUCUGCCUACAAUGCAGGAAACCCAGGUUCAAUCCCUGGGUUGGGAA